rnacentral:lncRNA from 1 species
UGAGAGAGAACACAUCGUGACAUAGUGGUGUCCGAAUAUGACACCCGGAUCUCCUAAACCAUCUCAAAGGUUUUGGAGUUAACUUGGGUUUAAGAAACCCAAGAUUUUUAUGUUUGAAUGCUUUUGAAUAUAUGUGAUUGUUGAUGAAAUGUGUUGAAUAUUUUAUAUGAAUGUUGUUGUGAAAUUUUCUGAGUGCAGGGGGUUGAAAA